GGGUUGGAAAUAAAUGGAGAGCAUAAAAGAGUGUUUAGUUCUGUUUUGUGAUGAUUAAAUCCCUUGAGUUGUGUUGUUUAUGGUGAUAUAGUUGAGUGGAAGAUGGAAUUUAUUCCAUACUUGAUUUGUGAAGCUAUAAGGUUGGUGUUCUUGAUCUAUUUGAGUCACUUAGCCUAUAUUUCCCUACCUUAACCAAUGUCCCUACAUUAUAACCCGAGGAAAAAGACCUUUUUGAUCUUAGUCCUGACACACUAUUAGCGAUGGAGAUUGUAGACAAUUGGCAAGCCUAUGGUAAGUGAUCUAUAUUGCAUUGAAUUCGAUGAGAGCAUACACGUCCCGUUCCAUCAAAUUGAGAUUUGAGUGAUACACAUACCUUGUGAGAUUCAAUUGUUUGGAAUGUCAAGGUUGAUUUUGCUAUAGGUUGUGUUUAUUGGUGAAUUUUGUGCUUAAUAAUUGAGGAUUUGAGAAUUCCAUUAUCUUUUAUUUUUCGGAGGCAUCGAUGAGCUAGAGUUAUUACCCAUUCGUGUUAUUGAUUGUGUUCUUCUCAUUAUUCGAGGACGAACAAUGGCUUAAGUUUGGGGGAGUUGAUAACACUCAUAUUUCCAUGGGUUUUAAUGUUCAUAUGAUGUUAAUUUUAUAGGAAAUUGAGUGUUGGAUGAUUGUUUUGUACUUAAAUUGUUUUAUCUUGUGAAAUAUGUUACUUGGUCGUACUUUGGUG
rnacentral:lncRNA from 1 species